rnacentral:tRNA from 1 species
GCGGCCGUGGUCUAGUAUGGUCAGGACCGAAGCUUCCCAAGCUUCUAACCCGAGUCGGUUCCAAUGAAAGAAUCGCGGGAAUUCAAAUCCCGGCGGCCGCACCA